UCCACCCUGGAGGGAAGGGAAACAAAAGCACUUUCAGAAGGUCUGAGCCAUGUGCUGCAUCGGGUCUGCUCGCAGCAUCCCUUUGGAAGGGAGUGGGGUUGGAGUCCCUCCUGCAGAGCCUUCCUGCUGCUCACAGGCAGGCAGGACCAAGCAAGGUCGUUUCAGACCUGUUGCAAUUAAACCAAGGAUGAUGAACUACUGCACUGGGGGAACUGUGAAUUUAAUUUAAUUUAACUGUUUUUCUCCCAGGAAACAGCUCCCGUGGUCAGCGUGUGGUCACAGCUGAAAUCCUGUGGUGUUUCUGAUCACACUGGACUGAGCAAGAGGGGACUUUGAGGUUUUCAAGCUCAUACCAGCUCUGCAAAUUUAGCAACUAGACACUUAAGGUCUCUGCAGAGGUCAAGCCCAGGCUUCCCCCACUUUCCUCUGCACCAAUGGAGUAUGGACACCAGUGAGAGGGCAUCCUCUGGGAAUUUGGUACUAAGCAUCAGCUGCCCAUCCAGUGCCACUGAGCCCAGGUAACUCUUGCCUCUGCCCUUCCUCCUUUGCAACACUUUCACCUUCCUGGCCUACACAGAGAAUCUCUGGCCUCUCACCUGCUGCAGCUCUGGUUUAGUCACAAGUUUUAUUCCAAUUAACAGGAUGUCACCUUCCAUCUCUAAAGUGAUUUUGGUGAUUAUCUUUCCUUCAAGGCCCCAAACAAAUUGAUUUCUGUGUGUAAAAUGCAGCCUGUUCCUUCACCUCAGGUUCUUUCAACUGUUAUACAGCAUUACUUAAACAUGCAAUAUUUAAGCUAAAAUAAGUGAAUGUUUUGUUAAGUACUUGAGAUAAAAGCAAUGAAGCUGGA